rnacentral:rRNA from 1 species
CCUACGGGAGGCAGCAGUGGGGAAUUUUGGACAAUGGGCGCAAGCCUGAUCCAGCAAUGCCGCGUGUGUGAAGAAGGCCUUCGGGUUGUAAAGCACUUUUGUCAGGGAAGAAACGGAUUGGGUUAAUACCCUGGUCUAAUGACGGUACCUGAAGAAUAAGCACCGGCUAACUACGUGCCAGCAGCCGCGGUAAUACGUAGGGUGCAAGCGUUAAUCGGAAUUACUGGGCGUAAAGCGUGCGCAGGCGGUUAUAUAAGUCAGAUGUGAGAUCCCCGGGCUCAACCUGGGCACUGCAUUUGAGACUGUAUGGCUAGAGUGUGUCAGAGGGGGGUAGAAUUCCACGUGUAGCAGUGAAAUGCGUAGAUAUGUGGAGGAAUGCCGAUGGCGAAGGCAGCCCCCUGGGAUAACACUGACGCUCAUGCACGAAAGCGUGGGGAGCAAACAGGAUUAGAUACCCUGGUAGUCCACGCCCUAAACGAUGUCUACUAGUUGUCGGGUCUUAAUUGACUUGGUAACGCAGCUAACGCGUGAAGUAGACCGCCUGGGGAGUACGGUCGCAAGAUUAAAACUCAAAGGAAUUGACGGA